rnacentral:lncRNA from 1 species
GUCCCACUCUGAUGGAGCCCGGAUCGAUCCUUGAGGGCUCAAGGUAGGGUCUGACACAUUACUUGUAAAAAUAAGCUCGGGCUCAGCCCACCUAUAUUUUAAAAGGGCUGGUCCGGACCUGGAUCAAGCUUAGGCCCAGCCCGGCCCUAAAGCCCUGAUAGAUCUGGAUUAAGAAUAACACAAAUCGGCUCGAUGUAGUUCGGAUAGGGCUUUGACCAGGUCCGGAUUGUACCAACGAUCA